rnacentral:rRNA from 1 species
GCAUAUCAAUAAGCGGAGGAAAAGAAACCAACAGGGAUUGCCUUAGUAACGGCGAGUGAAGCGGCAAUAGCUCAAAUUUGAAAUCUGGCGCCUUUAGGUGUCCGAGUUGUAAUUUGUAGAGGAUGUUUUGGUAUUAGCUCCGGUUUAAGUCCCUUGGAACAGGGCGUCAUAGAGGGUGAGAAUCCCGUAUGUGACUGGCUGCUUUUGCCAUGUAAAACUCCUUCGACGAGUCGAGUUGUUUGGGAAUGCAGCUCUAAUUGGGAGGUAAAUUUCUUCUAAAGCUAAAUACUGGCCAGAGACCGAUAGCGCACAAGUAGAGUGAUCGAAAGAUGAAAAGCACUUUGGAAAGAGAGUUAAAAAGUACGUGAAAUUGUUGAAAGGGAAGCGCUUGCAAUCAGACCUGCUUGUAGUUGUUCAUCUAGGCUUUUGUCUAGUGCAUUCUUCUGCAAGUCAGGCCAGUAUCAGUUCAGGCGGUUGAAUAAAGAAUUCAGGAAUGUAGCUCCUUUUGGGGAGUGUUAUAGCCUGUUUUGUAAUGCAGCCAGCCCGGAUUGAGGACCGCGCUUCGGCUAGGAUACUGGCGUAAUGGUUGUAAGCGGCCCGUCUUGAAACACGGACCAAGGAGUCUAACAUCUGUGCAAGUGUUUGGGUGCUAAACCCAUACGCGUAAUGAAAGUGAACGGAGGCGGGAACCUUUUUUAGGUGCACCGUCGACCGAUCCUGAUGUCUUCGGAUGGAUUUGAGUAAGAGCAUAGCUGUUGGGACCCGAAAGAUGGUGAACUAUGCUUGAAUAGGGUGAAGCCAGAGGAAACUCUGGUGGAGGCUCGCAGCGGUUCUGACGUGCAAAUCGAUCGUCAAAUUUGGGCAUAGGGGCGAAAGACUAAUCGAACUAUCUAGUAGCUGGUUCCUGCCGA